rnacentral:rRNA from 1 species
UUUGGAUAUUCCUAGAGUAUUGGUAAUGACAAGAAAGUUAGAUUUUGGGAGGAUCAUUGGUUUGGAUCGGACCCACUAGCUACUCUCUAUUGGGACUUAUACAAACUUGUCAAUGAACAUGAUUGCACCUUAGAUAUAGUGUGGGAUGGCUCUAACCUCAAAAUCACUUUUAGGAGAUGUUUCUCCAACGAACUUCUUUCUCUUUGGUUUGAACUCUUGGAGAUUGCUAAUCCAUUACUUUUUCUAAGACAGAAGACUCUUUAG